rnacentral:misc_RNA from 1 species
GCAAAUUGUUGAAAAGAUUUAGCUAUAUUGAAAAGAUUUAGCCUACUUUAUAUACAAAUAGAUAGAUUUGGAUAAAUAAGGCUCAUAGGGCAAAGACACAAGAAGCCCACAAAAUACGAUAUGCCUAACACAUACAAGACUCCCAAAGCCAUAAGCCAUAACCCUAGAUGACUAGAAAACCAUUAACUCUAAGAACUCUGUCAGCACCACCGGUGCUUCUAGUUACCGAAACUGGAGAAGAAAACCAGAAGGAACUAAAGCGAAAGUUUCCACAACAAACAAGAAGCAUGCCUGUUUACUUGAAAACCACCACCUUCAAACUUCCAACCCAACCCGUUGUUGGACCUCAGGAGCCAAACAAACACCAACGUCAACAGCAACCUUCAGAAAGGGAGGGGACAAAGAUUAUAGGCUCUCAAAGUUUCCUUACCUCCAAGCGUCCAGCUACUGGGAGACUCCUCUUUCAUGUUGAACCAUUCUUUCCCCAGAUAAUAAUGGGAGAAUAUAAGCCACCGUAACCUGUCCAAAUAUAAGUUGAAGAAAACCAUCCUCAUUCUAUUUUUGAUGGCGCUCAUUUAGUUCUUUUUGAAGCUAGGGUCUAAACUAGUAGAGAAAAGUUAUCCACUCCUCUCAACUUUUUAAGCCCAUUUAGUUCAAAAUUAACAAUGGCUAUUUAUCUUAUAACUUUUCUACUUAUUAAUAUUUAUACUAUUUUAAUAAUUUAAAAUGUUAACAUUGAAGAACAACAUUAGUAAUUAAAACUUACAACAAUAACAUUUAAUCCUUAUUUUUUUAACUUUCAACUAAACACAUCUU